AAAAGCUGGAGGAGAGCCCCAGGCAGAUAUCACUGGUCCUGGUCUAGCUCAGGGUUCAGUUUCAGCCUCAGAAGGAGGGGACAGAGCUGCAGAGAUGCACAGACUGAAGAAUCCAAAAUGGGCACUGGCUGUGAAUGUCUCCUUCCCAGCUGGAGACAGAGGUGGAUCCCAGGCACACAGGAGUAAAAACACAAGGGCCCACAGGUCCUCUGCCUUUGGGAGCCCCCAGAGACCCCCCAGGAGCCUGCAGGGAGAGUACGAAAGAGAAGCAGCACAGCCAGGCCACAUCCAACACUGCCAAGAGAUGCAGAUGGUGGCAAUGCAGGUUCUUCUUCUGCAAACCCCCCUCCACUAAGGCGCCCAUCACAGGGCUCAGUUACUGUGGCUAGGAUGCCAACCAAGAGACGCCGUCUUGAGGCUGAAUCACCAGCACCAUCAUCACCACCCCAACGGCGCAUCUCCGCAGUGUCAGCCCUGCCACCACAAGCUAUUUUGGCCAGCCCACAAAGUGAGGAUCCACAAUCCCCUCAGUUGUCUGAACCAGCCAUCAUGCCCGAGGAUGCCCAGCAGGAACGUGACCAGCAGGAUACCUACACACUACACCUGCAGCCCAUCGAUCCUACACAGCCAACCACGCCGCAGGACAUACCCCAACCACCCCAAACAUUCCACAGCCCCCAAUUGAGCACAACACCACCCCAGACACAAAUGGGCCCUGAGUUUUAGAGCCGUUGGGCCACACAACAGGAGCAAAACUAUUCGUGCCUCAACACCCACAGCCAAUACCUGGCAAGUCUGCCCCAUCAUCUGCCUAGACUGAGUCGAAACUCAGGCAGAUUUUAAGUUCAGGUGGGCAGAAUUGCCAAUUCAAUGGAGCAGUCGAGGGCAGACAACUGCCAAAUGCAAGCCAAUCUCCAACGCAUCAUGGAUGAACAACAGCGGCAGCAACAAUCCCUUUAUUCAGAUAAUCCAACACAACCAAAUUGUAAACGACAACCUGUCCAGAAUAAUAGCAAGCAACACUGCCGCUAAUACGCAACUCACUGCAAGCCUCAAUAUACUAAGUCAAAGCCUUAAUGUGUUGGCAUCACACCAAGUCAGCUCUAGCUCGGGGACAACUACACCAAGCCAGACCCCAGUUCACUCCCCAGUUAGACGCUCCAGUAGAACCCGGACCAACGAGCCAGCGCAAUCCUCGGCACCCAGCACACACCAAAAAAAAUAAAUAAUCAGGCCUGCAGCUAAUAGUUUGUUUAUUUAAAAAUUAUGUUGAUUUGUUACAGCAAAAAUGCCUGUGUUCAAGGUAAUAAAUUGUUCACACGGAA